rnacentral:miRNA from 1 species
UGGCACUCCAGAUGUUUUGGACUACACCCCUCAUAUUGCUCUUACACCCAUAAUACUGGCAAAGCAUCAUGGGAGGUGUAGUCCAAAACAUCUGGAGUGCCG